rnacentral:rRNA from 1 species
AUGGCUAAAGUUCUGGCCCUAAAAUUUGGUCUAUCGCUAGCGCAAAGGAGAGGAUGCAACUACAUUAUUAUUAACUCAAAUAAUAUGGAGGUGAUCGACACCAUCAAGGAAGGAGGACGAUCGUUGGGGGCAGCGGCGGCAGUUUUUUACGAUUGCUUUCAUUUAGCUUGUGAUUUUUCUAUUUCUAGAUUCGAGCACCAUAAUAGAGAAGCAAACAAAGUUGUUCAUGAACUUGCCAAAUUGACUAGAUUUUUGUUCAUUUCUGAAUGGUUCGAGGAGCCAAAUAGUGAAAUUGGAGCAAUUCUAAUAAACGAUGUAAUGGUUUUUCUAAUGAAUAAAGCUCGAGUUUCUUUAAAAAAAACUUGA